rnacentral:rRNA from 1 species
UUCCGGUUGAUCCCGCCGGACCUGACUGCUAUCGGAUUGAUACUAAGCCAUGCGAGUCUUUGUAGCAAUACAAGGCAGACGGCUCAGUAACGCGUAGUCAACCUACCCUAUGGACGGGAAUAACCUCGGGAAACUGAGUAUAAUGCCCGAUAGAACAUUAUGCCUGGAAGGGUUUAUGUUCCAAAUGAUUUAUCGCCGUAGGAUGGGACUGCGGCCUAUCAGUUUGUUGGUGAGGUAAUGGCCCACCAAGACUAUUACAGGUACGGGCUCUGAGAGGAGUAGCCCGGAGAUGGGUACUGAGACACGGACCCAGGCCCUAUGGGGCGCAGCAGGCGAGAAAACUUUGCAAUGUGCGAAAGCACGACAAGGUUAAUCCGAGUGGUUUCUGCUAAAGGAACCUUUUGUCAGUCGUAAAACCACUAACGAAUAAGGGGUGGGCAAGUUCUGGUGUCAGCCGCCGCGGUAAAACCAGCACCUCAAGUGGUCAGGAUGAUUAUUGGGCCUAAAGCAUCCGUAGCCUGCUCUGUAAGUUUUCGGUUAAAUCUGUAUGCUCAACAUACAGGCUGCCGGGAAUACUGCAGAGCUAGGGAGUGGGAGAGGUAGACGGUACUCGGGAGGAAGUGGUAAAAUGCUUUGAUCUCUCGAUGACCACCUGUGGCGAAGGCGGUCUACCAGAACACGUCCGACGGUGAGGGAUGAAAGCUGGGGGAGCAAACCGGAUUAGAUACCCGGGUAGUCCCAGCUGUAAACUAUGCAAACUCAGUGAUGCAUUGGCUUGUGGCCAAUGCAGUGUUGCAGGGAAGCCGCUAAGUUUGCCGCCUGGGAAGUACGUACGCAAGUAUGAAACUUAAAGGAAUUGGCGGGGGAGCACCACAAGGGGUGAAGCCUGCGGUUCAAUUGGAAUCAACGCCGGA